rnacentral:miRNA from 2 species
AGGCAGUGUAAUGUUAGCUGGCU